AGCUUUUUGGUGCAAUUUGGUAGCACACCGGUACUAUAUACUCACCGGGGAUGCAAGUUCGAUUCUUGCAAAAGCUU
rnacentral:tRNA from 1 species